GUGGGGAAUAUUGCGCAAUGGGCGAAAGCCUGACGCAGCAACGCCGCGUGAGUGAUGAAGGCCCUCGGGUCGUAAAGCUCUGUCAGUUGGGACGAUGGGUACGUUUAACAAACGUGCUUGACGGUACCAGCAAAGGAAGCACCGGCUAACUCUGUGCCAGCAGCCGCGGUAAUACAGAGGGUGCAAGCGUUGUUCGGAAUUAUUGGGCGUAAAGGGCGUGUAGGCGGCAUCGUGUGUCUGGUGUGAAAGCCCAUCUCUCAAAGAUGGAAGUGCGCUGGAAACUACGGAGCUAGAGUACCGGAGAGGGUCGCGGAAUUCCCGGAGGAGAGGUGAAAUUCGUAGAUAUCGGGAAGAACACCGGCGGCGAAGGCGGCGACCUGGACGGUUACUGACGCUGAGGCGCGAAAGCGUGGGGAGCAAACAGGAUUAGAUACCCCGGUAGUCC
rnacentral:rRNA from 1 species